UAAGCGGAGGAAAAGAAACCAACAGGGAUUGCCUUAGUAACGGCGAGUGAAGCGGCAAUAGCUCAAAUUUGAAAGCUGGCCCCUUCGGGGUCCGCGUUGUAAUUUGUAGAGGAUGAUUCGGCGAGGGCUCCCGUCUAAGUCCCUUGGAACAGGGCGUCAUAGAGGGUGAGAAUCCCGUAUGUGAUGGGCUGCCUUAGCCAUGUGAAUCUCCUUCGACGAGUCGAGUUGUUUGGGAAUGCAGCUCUAAAUGGGAGGUAAAUUUCUUCUAAAGCUAAAUACCGGCCAGAGACCGAUAGCGCACAAGUAGAGUGAUCGAAAGAUGAAAAGCACUUUGGAAAGAGAGUUAAAAAGUACGUGAAAUUGUUGAAAGGGAAGCGCUUGCAGCCAGACUUGUCCGCAGUUGCUCAGCCUGUCUCCUGACAGGCGUACUCUUCUGCGGCCAGGCCAGCAUCAGUUCGGGCGGUCGGAUAAAGACCUAGGGAAUGUAGCUCCUCUCGGGGAGUGUUAUAGCCCUGGGUGCAAUGCGGCCAGCCUGGAGUGAGGAUCUCGCUUCGGCUAGGAUGCUGGCGUAAUGGCUGUAAGCGGCCCGUCUUGAAACACGGACCAAGGAGUCUAACAUCUAUGCGAGUGUUUGGGUGUCAAACCCAUGCGCGUAAUGAAAGUGAACGGAGGUGGGAACCCUCACGGGUGCACCAUCGACCGAUCCUGAUGUCUUCGGAUGGAUUUGAGUAAGAGCAUAGCUGUUGGGACCCGAAAGAUGGUGAACUAUGCCUGAAUAGGGUGAAGCCAGAGGAAACUCUGGUGGAGGCUCGCAGCGGUUCUGACGUGCAAAUCGAUCGUCAAAUUUGGGUAUAGGGGGCGAAAGACUAAUCGAACCAUCUAGUACCUGGUUCUGCCGA
rnacentral:rRNA from 1 species